UUCUGUAAGUUUUGCAUAGUUGCACUACAAGAACUGAGUUGUGCAAAUCUAUGCAAAACUGAUGGCAGU